CUCAUUCUCCAUCUCGUUUUCUGCCCUUCUCUCUCUCGUUCUCCCAGUGAGUUUCCCUGUCUCUACCACCACCACCAACGUUAUCAUCAAGAUCAAAACCAAACCUUAUUGUCGUCGUCGUCGAGGAAGAAAGAACUAGGAUGAGAUGAUCAUGUUAGCUAGGCAGGCUCUCUGAACCAUACAAGGGAAUUGAAGAGUGUUUUGGAAGAAUAAUCAAGGAAGAAGGGUUUGGGGCCAUUGCGGAGAGGAAACACAGGCAAUGUCAUAUCUUACUUCCCUACCCAGGCCUUGAAAUUUGCAUAGUUUCAAGAAGGAUAGAGAUGGCUACUGUAAUUUU